rnacentral:rRNA from 1 species
CAGCAGCCGCGGGAAUACAGAGGGUGCGAGCGUUAAUCGGAUUUACUGGGCGUAAAGCGUGCGUAGGCGGCUUUUUAAGUCGGAUGUGAAAUCCCUGAGCUUAACUUAGGAAUUGCAUUCGAUACUGGGAAGCUAGAGUAUGGGAGAGGAUGGUAGAAUUCCAGGUGUAGCGGUGAAAUGCGUAGAGAUCUGGAGGAAUACCGAUGGCGAAGGCAGCCAUCUGGCCUAAUACUGACGCUGAGGUACGAAAGCAUGGGAGCAAACAGGAUUAGAUACCCCCGUAGUCCCUGUCUCUUAUACA